UGGGGAAUUUUGGACAAUGGGCGCAAGCCUGGUCCAGCAAUGCCGCGUGCAGGAUGAAGGCCUUCGGGUUGUAAACUGCUUUUGUCAGGGAAGAAACGAGUUUCUCUAAUACAGAGACUUAAUGACGGUACCUGAAGAAUAAGCACCGGCUAACUACGUGCCAGCAGCCGCGGUAAUACGUAGGGUGCAAGCGUUAAUCGGAAUUACUGGGCGUAAAGCGUGCGCAGGCGGUUAUAUAAGACAGAUGUGAAAUCCCCGGGCUCAACCUGGGAACUGCAUUUGUGACUGUAUAGCUAGAGUACGGCAGAGGGGGAUGGAAUUCCGCGUGUAGCAGUGAAAUGCGUAGAUAUGCGGAGGAACACCGAUGGCGAAGGCAAUCCCCUGGGCCUGUACUGACGCUCAUGCACGAAAGCGUGGGGAGCAAACA
rnacentral:rRNA from 1 species